GCAUAUCAAAUAAGCGGAGGAAAAAGAAACCAACAGGGAUUGCCCUAGUAACGGCGAGCGAAGCGGCAACAGCUCAAAUUUGAAAUCUGGCUAUUUUGUAGUCCGAGUUGUAAUUUGUAGAGGAUGCUUUUGGUGAGGUGCCUUCCGAGUUCCCUGGAACGGGACGCCAGAGAGGGUGAGAGCCCCGUACGGUUGGAUACCAAACCUUUGUAUAGCUCCUUCGACGAGUCGAGUAGUUUGGGAAUGCUGCUCUAAAUGGGAGGUAUAUCUCUUCUAAAGCUAAAUAUAGGCUAGAGACCGAUAGCGCACAAGUAGAGUGAUCGAAAGAUGAAAAGCACUUUGAAAAGAGAGUUAAACAGCACGUGAAAUUGUUGAAAGGGAAGCGCCUAUGACCAGACUUGUUUCUUUCAGUUUUGUUAGUUUUCGGACUGAUUUACUCUGUUAGUACAGGCCAGCAUCAGUUUGUUGUCAGGGAGAAAGGCUUAGGGAAUGUGGCUCUUUCGGGAGUGUUAUAGCCCUUUGCAUAAUACCUUUCGGCAGACUGAGGACCGCGCUUCGGCAAGGAUGCUGGCGUAAUGGUCAUCAGCGACCCGUCUUGAAACACGGACCAAGGAGUCAACCUUAUGUGCGAGUGUUUGGGUGUAAAACCCCAGCGCGUAAUGAACGUGAACGUAGGUGAGAGCUUCGGCGCAUCAUCGACCGAUUCUGAUGUUCUCGGAUGGAUUUGAGUAAGAGCACACAGGGUUGGACCCGAAAGAAGGUGAACUAUGCUUGUAUAGGGUGAAGCCAGAGGAAACUCUGGUGGAGGCUCGCAGCGGUUCUGACGUGCAAAUCGAUCGUCAAAUAUGAGCAUGGGGGGCGAAAGACUAAUCGAACCUUCUAGUAGCUGGUUCCAGCCGAAG
rnacentral:rRNA from 1 species